rnacentral:rRNA from 1 species
GUAGGCAACCUGCCUGCAAGACCGGGAUAACCCACGGAAACGUGAGCUAAUACCGGAUAUCUCAUUUCCUCUCCUGAGGGAAUGAUGAAAGACGGAGCAAUCUGUCACUUGCGGAUGGGCCUGCGGCGCAUUAGCUAGUUGGUGAGGUAACGGCUCACCAAGGCGACGAUGCGUAGCCGACCUGAGAGGGUGAACGGCCACACUGGGACUGAGACACGGCCCAGACUCCUACGGGAGGCAGCAGUAGGGAAUCUUCCGCAAUGGGCGAAAGCCUGACGGAGCAACGCCGCGUGAGUGAUGAAGGUUUUCGGAUCGUAAAGCUCUGUUGCCAGGGAAGAACGUCCGAUAGAGUAACUGCUAUCGGAGUGACGGUACCUGAGAAGAAAGCCCCGGCUAACUACGUGCCAGCAGCCGCGGUAAUACGUAGGGGGCAAGCGUUGUC